AAACAUCCGCCGGAAGAACGGAAUUCAUUGAUGUUGAAUUUUAUGAGUAAUCUACUCGUUGUUUG
rnacentral:tRNA from 1 species